AGGCCUUAUUCCUAAAAUAAAAUCCCAAUUUCAGCGUCAAUUCUUUUGUAAAUUGUCGAAUAUGCAAUUUAAAAGAGAGGUCGUCAUCAAUUAAAAUUACAAGAUAUUUAUAUGAGGUUACAGUCUAAACUAGAAUUAAUGGGUAGGGUUUUUAGGCCUUCCCUGUCUCUGGUCAACAGUCCAGUCCAGUUGGUGGCCUACCGCCAUAWAAAAUCCACAGAAGAAGAAAGUGGGCUUUGGUUGUAAUGGACCAAUCACGAGUUUUGCUGAGGUCAAGGGUUUAGUGUUGCCAUGUUCGUGGUUUUCCCGGGCACGCAGAGAAGCACAGAGGAUUCGCCUUAAUUGAAUUUGAAUUGGCUGAGGAUGCUGCUGCUGCUAUUGAUAACAUGAAGGAGUCAGUUGUUUGGAAGAACCAUCCGGGUCAACAUCGCCAAACCUAUGAGGAUCAAAGAGGGCUCUUCUCGUCCAGUUUGGGCAGAUGAUGAUUGGCUGAAAAAGUUAUCGGGAACGACCGCUGAUGAGGCUGAGGUGACGGAGUCCACUGGAGAAUCAGCCAAAUCAACAACAGCAGAUGCAAGUUGUGUGUGUGUUCCUGUCGGUCUCUAGCGAGCUCCCAGCCGAAGAAGGGGAGAACAAACCCGCAGGUUUACAUGGACAUCAAGAUUGGCAAUAAGCCAGCAGGGAGACUGCGCUUCCUGCUCCGAGUAGACAUUGUUCCUAUGACAGCAGAAAACWUCCGCUGCUUGUGCACACAUGAGAAGUGCUUUGGCUUCAAAGGCAGCUGUUUCUACCGUGUCAUCCCACAGUUCAUGUGUCAGGGAGGAGACUUCACCAACCACAAUGGCAUUGGGGGUCAGCUCUCCAUGGAUAACUCUGGAGCAAACAGCAACGGCUCUCAGUUCUUCAUCACCUGUGACAAAACGGAUUGGCUGGAUAACAA